ACCAGACUCCUACGGGAGGCAGCAGUGGGGAAUAUUGCACAAUGGGGGGAACCCUGAUGCAGCGACGCCGCGUGAGUGAAGAAGUAUUUCGGUAUGUAAAGCUCUAUCAGCAGGGACGAAGAUGACGGUACCUGCAGAAGAAGCCCCGGCUAACUACGUGCCAGCAGCCGCGGUAAUACGUAGGGGGCAAGCGUUAUCCGGAUUUACUGGGUGUAAAGGGAGCGUAGGCGGCCUGCCAAGUCUGAUGUGAAAUACCGGGGCUCAACCCCGGGGCUGCAUUGGAAACUGGCAGGCUGGAGUGUCGGAGAGGCAGGCGGAAUUCCUAGUGUAGCGGUGAAAUGCGUAGAUAUUAGGAGGAACACCAGUGGCGAAGGCGGCCUGCUGGACGAUGACUGACGCUGAGGCUCGAAAGCGUGGGGAGCAAACAGGAUUAGAUACCCCAGUA
rnacentral:rRNA from 1 species